rnacentral:snRNA from 1 species
GUGCUCUCUUCGGCAUCACAUAUACUAAAAUUGGAAUGAUACAGAGAUUAGCAUGGCCCCUGCGCAAGGCUGACAUGCAAAUUCCUGAAGCGUUUCAUAUUAAA